UGGGGGGUCGUCUAACGGUAGGACACGGCUCUUUGGAAGCUGGUAUGAAGGUCCGAUUCCUUCCCCCCCAG
rnacentral:tRNA from 1 species